AAGCGAAUGGGAAGAGGAUGGGGUGUGUUUCGCAGGGAAAGCAAGCUGAGAGUUGGAGAUGUGGUUGUGUUUGAGCUUGUCAAGAGGAGUAAGAACAGGGUGAUGAAGUUCACUGUGUUUUCUUCAGCUGCAAUUUGAAACAAAGUGACUGAAAUUUGUGGUUUUGGCUGUAAAUACUUUAAAAUGUAUGGUCUGAUUUUGGAAGCUUACUUUGG
rnacentral:misc_RNA from 1 species